rnacentral:tRNA from 1 species
UCCCCGGUGGCUCAGUGGUAAAGAAUCUGCCUGCAAUGCAGGAGCCCCGGGUUUGAUCCCUGGGUCGGGAA